rnacentral:rRNA from 1 species
AAGCAUAUCAAUAAGCGGAGGAAAAGAAACUAACAAGGAUUCCCCUAGUAACUGCGAGUGAAGAGGGAAAAGCUCAAAUUUUGAAUCUGGCGGUCUUUAGGUCGUCCGAGUUGUAAUCUAGAGAAGCGUCUUCCGCGCUGGACCGUGUAUAAGUUUCCUGGAAUGGAACGUCGUAGAGGGUGAGAAUCCCGUCUUUGACACGGACUACCAGGGCUAUGUGAUGCGCUCUCGACGAGUCGAGUUGUUUGGGAAUGCAGCUCAAAUAGGGUGGUAAAUUCCAUCUAAAGCUAAAUACAGGCGAGAGACCGAUAGCGAACAAGUACCGUGAGGGAAAGAUGAAAAGAACUUUGGAAAGAGAGUUAAACAGUACGUGAAAUUGCUGAAAGGGAAACGCUUGAUGUCAGUCGCGUCGGCCGGGGAUCAGCCUUGCUUAAUCGCUCGGCGUACUUCCUGGCAGACGGGUCAGCAUCAGUUUCGAUCGUCGGAAAAUGGCUAGGGGAAUGUGGCACUCUUUCGGGAGUGUGUUAUAGACUCUGGUCGAAUGCGAUGGUUGGGACUGAGGAACUCAGCACGACCUUAGGGUUCGGGACUUCGGUCCACGUUUGCGUGCUUAGGAUGCUGGCAUAAUGGCCUUAAGCGACCCGUCUUGA